rnacentral:misc_RNA from 1 species
GAUGAAGAACGUAGCGAAAUGCGAUAAGUAGUGUGAAUUGCAGAAUUCAGUGAAUCAUCGAAUCUUUGAACGCACAUUGCGCCCGCUAGUAUUCUGGCGGGCAUGCCAGUUCGAGCGUCAUUUCAACCAUCAAGCCCCAGGCUUGCGUUGGGGGCCUGCGGCUGCCGCAGCCCCUGAAAAGCAGUGGCGGGCUCGCUGUCAUUCCGAGCGUAGUAGUUACAUCUCGCUCCGGGCGUGGCGGUGGGCACCUGCCGUGAAACACUCUUUCUAAGGUUGACCUCGGAUCAGGUAGGAAUACCCGCUGAACUUAAGCAUAUCAAUAAGCGGAGGA